rnacentral:rRNA from 1 species
AUGGGGCUUUGGACCUUUAAUCAGGCAUUAGCACGCCGAGAGCUGAUGAGGAUGAUAGUGUUGCAUGAAUUGGCAUUCUCAUUGGUGGAGUACGAUGGAUUUAGAAGAUUUGUCUCUAGUCUAAAUCCUAGCUUCAAGAUAAUAUGUAGAAAAACUGUGAAGGAGGACUGCAUGAAAGCAUUUAAGGAAGAGAAGAGAAUUCUGCAAAGGAUGUUCCAAAACUCCAAAUCCAAGAUUUCUUUGACUACGGACCUGUGGACAUCAAAUCAGACAGUGGGUACAUUUGCAUCACAGCUCACUUCAUUGAUGAGGAGUGGAAGCAGCAGAAGAGGAUAG